UGGGUAUGUUAAUAGCAUACUCAUUUGACGUUUAGCUGCAGAAGAAGCACCGGCUAACUCCGUGCCAGCAGCCGCGGUAAUACGGAGGGUGCGAGCGUUUAAUCGGAAUUACUGGGCGUAAAGCGCAUGCAGGUGGUUUGUUAAGUCAGAUGUGAAAGCCCGGGGCUCAACCUCGGAAUUGCAUUUGAAACUGGCAAACUAGAGUACUGUAGAGGGGGUAGAAUUUCAGGUGUAGCGGUGAAAUGCGUAGAGAUCUGAAGGAAUACCGGUGGCGAAGGCGGCCCCCCUGGACCAGAUACUGACACUCAGAUGCGAAAGCGUGGGGAGCAAACAGGAUUAGAUACCCUGGUAG
rnacentral:rRNA from 1 species